GACGCGGGCGCCGUUCGGAAUGAGUCUGCUGAUAACAGAUAGCGAGCUGAUAAUCAGGCGGCAGCUUCGCAAAGCCCGAUCGCUGUCUGAGCCCGGCCCAGCCCGGCCUGGUUCAGGUGGCUCGACACCGGCUGAAGCCAGUUUCUGCUUCUGGGGUGGAGUGUCCUGCCACCAGGUCCAACCCGUCCCAGUCCUCCCUUCGAAAUCUGCAGACCUCAUGCGAGACCAGUGGGUGGGGGAGUACACUGUGACAUCCUCCUCGGCCUUGGGGUCGUUCGUCACCUUCCAGACGGCUCGCCGAACCAGGACGGCACGCCGACGGGCAGUACAGUCCCUCUGCCGCUCUCAGCAGCCGAUAAGGACGACGCCGCGUUGCUCAACCAGCCACCAGCUCCGCGGCGCACCUUGCGUCGUCGUGGCUCCGUCUCUCUCGCACUCACGGCGCGGCCCGUGGGGGUGCGAGGGAGACAGCGAACGCACGCCGUGCGCCGAACAGGUGUGCACGUUGGGUUGCCUGAGCCACGGCGGCUGCCAUCCAGUCUCACCAUAUCCGCGCACGUUGCCAGCCACGUGUCGAACAACCUCCGCGGUAAGCGUUCUCCAAGAAAAAGAUGUCUUUGCCGACUAGGCAAGCGGGAAGUAUUGAGAAAGACACGUGUGGUUCUUAAUUUAAUUUAUUACAUUUACACCUUUCUCAUUCAGAAAAAAAAUAUCUUCAACAGCACAACCACAACCACGAGAACGGUAAAAAUGACUUUAAAUUGUAUACAUCAAGUGCUGACUUUGAUCAGGUUCGCAUACACCUGUUCUAAAAUAAAUAUUAAAAAUGUAAAAGUAACCAAGUAAGUUGUCACUUAGCAGUGGAGUCUAGGAUAUUGAUUGAUUAUGUACUGAGGACGAUGAAAUACAUACAGGA